GGCACAUCCCGUGCAGCUGUGCUAUAGAUAAGAAAAUAAUAAACGUCUAAGUCUGAAGAACAAUCUAGCGUCCUCUGCCUUUCAAUCCAAACUGAGUAAAAGAACCCACGAUUCAGAGAGACAAAAAUGAAAACACAGAGAAAACUAAUAAUUGGUGACCCGUGUGAGGACUCAGAGUUUGAACCUCCCUGAAGAAAACGAGAAAAGAAGAAAAAGCAGCUUCGAGCUGGGAAAAGGAAGAAGACUAUUCCCCGGGGAAAAAAGAAAAAAAAAAGAAAAAAAAAAAAAAAAAAAGAGAAACAGGAUCUCGGACCCUAGAGGCUGGUGAAAGGAACCAGGACCGUACUUCUGAACAGUUACGGAGCAGAGGGAACUGAGGAAAACUUCUGACGUCACUGUCAGCCUGCAAUUUCUCCUACAAGAGCUCUUUUCUGUUGUUAUGGAGAGAUGCUUCUUGUCUCGCACUCCAGUGUGGCUGUAAUUGCAUUCCAGCAGUAUUGAGAGCAAUGGGCACAAGGGCAUAAUGAAGUCUGAGGAAUGAUCAUCUUUCUCUGACGAAGUGAAGUCUUCCACUGCCCUCACUGCAUUCCCACAAAGAUGACAUCAAGCUUGGAGACCUGCAUUGUGAGAAAUAAAUGGGAUGUAUCAAGCUGUUGCUGCGGUCUGCUGAGAGAAUCUCAAUCUCCUUCUCUUAUAAUACCCAACCAGGUUCUUGAGCUGGGAAAAGGAAAGAUCCUUUGAUUGCCCAAAGAAAUCCAGAAAAACAAAGAAACUUCUCGAAAAAUUUUGUGCUGAUGCAUCAGAUGUCAACCACUCUUGACAGGAGAUGGGAUCUCAGUUUUCUUUCCUCUAUUGCAGAACACAAUGCAAAUGUUAAAUAGUUCCUUGCAUAUUCCUGAAAGAAUGGCCAUGUUAGAAUGCUCUUUUGGCUUUUUGCUCUCACUGUUUUUUGUUCUGGGUUUUACCUAGAUGUCUCAAUCAAGCCAAUGAACCAGAAAAGAUUUUUCUGUGCAUUCCACUACAUUUCAAAGUUUGUUUAUUCCUUCAUAUUAUUUUGUCUUUGAAGACACAGAAAUCCACUAGGACUAAACAGCAGAUGUAAUAGAUGUCCUGCAAUUA